rnacentral:lncRNA from 1 species
CGGGAAGGAGGCCGCGGGGCCAGGGUUAUCUCGCGGCCUCAGAUGCUGGAGGAGUCGCAGGAGCAGACGCACGUCGGGGUGACAUUCAGGAAGGCGGAGGGACGAUUCGGAAGAAAAGAGCCUGCCUGUCCUGUCCAAGGUAAACAGUCCGUUUCAUCUGCC